rnacentral:rRNA from 1 species
UGGGGAAUAUUGCACAAUGGGGGAAACCCUGAUGCAGCGACGCCGCGUGAGUGAAGAAGUAUUUCGGUAUGUAAAGCUCUAUCAGCAGGGAAGAAAAAAGACGGUACCUGACGAAGAAGCCCCGGCUAACUACGUGCC